rnacentral:tRNA from 1 species
GGUGAUAUAUUUUAAGAAAAAUACCACUUUGCGAAAGUGGAGUUACCUUCAGGUUUUCACUU